rnacentral:rRNA from 1 species
UACGUAGGGGGGCAAGCGUUGUCCGGAUUUAUUGGGCGUAAAGGGCGUGUAGGCGGCCAGGUAGGUGGGUUGUGAAAACUGGAGGCUCAACCUUCAGACGUCGACCCAAACCCCCUGGCUAGAGUCCGGAAGAGGAGAGUGGAAUUCCUGGUGUAGCGGUGAAAUGCGCAGAUAUCAGGAAGAACACCCGUGGCGAAGGCGGCUCUCUGGGGACGGUACUGACGCUGAGACGCGAAAGCGUGGG